CAGGGUGAACAUGGUAGUUGUUCAGUUGAUUGAUUUGAGGUUAUAAACGGUUAUGAGAAAGCGUUAAAUCUAGGGUUUCAGGUAAUCAGGAUUAUAGAGAUAUAGAAUAUCAGUUGUCGCUUGUUGAUACGGAUUGAACGUCGAUCAAUGCUAUUGAGUUAGCGUCGAUCGAUGUUUUCCUAGUCUUAACUAAAUCAAUUGUCGCUUGUUUCUAGCAAUCCUAGCUCAAGGGAAUUUAUUCUGGCGUAAAACCUACCGUCGUAGUUGUCCACAAUGUUAAAAUCAAGGUUCUAGUUAGCUACUCUAGAACACAAGCAUUACAAUCAAUUCCUUGAAUGAUAUUUAUCACCUUAGCAAUUCUACAGUUUUGGCUAAUUCUUCAUAACCCUAAUAAACCCUAAAUCUAAUAAGUGAAUUACUCAGACAUGAUCAAGCAAGACAUGCUAAUGAUCUAAAUUAAAAAAAAAACAUAAAAUAUAAUAAGGUAGAAAAAUUGGAGUUCCAAAACAAAGCUCUAAAGGAGUCUUGGAUUUUCUCUCCAGACUACUAAAAACCCUAAACUCUUUGCUGUGAAAAUAUAAAAGUAUGGAAAAGCUUGUGUUGCUCAAGACAAUGGCAAAGCACAUAAAUAUUAGGUAAAAAUCGGCCAAGGGUAGUUCUGUAAUUGUUGUGGAAAUUGGGCUAUAAAUCGGUCAUGAAAUGUGGCCUGCUUCUCGCGCCUCGCUUUCGAUCAUCGACAUGUGAUGUUGG
rnacentral:lncRNA from 1 species